CCUACGUGAGGCAGCAGUGAGGAAUAUUGGUCAAUGGCCGAGAGGCUGAACCAGCCAAGUCGCGUGAGGGAAGACGGCCCUACGGGUUGUAAACCUCUUUUGUCGGGGAGCAAAGCGAGUCACGUGUGACUCAUUGAGAGUACCCGAAGAAAAAGCAUCGGCUAACUCCGUGCCAGCAGCCGCGGUAAUACGGAGGAUGCGAGCGUUAUCCGUAUUUAUUGGGUUUAAAGGGUGCGCGGGCGGAGGUGAAAGUAAGCGGUCAACUUGCGGGGCUCAACCCCGUACUGCCGUUGAAACUGGAUCCCUGGAGUGCGCGUGAAGUAUGCGGAAUGCGUGGGGUAGCGGUGAAAUGCAUAGAUAUCACGCAGAACUCCGAUUGCGAAGGCAGCAUACCGGCGCGCAACUGACGCUCAUGCACGAAAGCGUGGGUAUCGAACAGGAUUAGAUACCCCGGUAGUC
rnacentral:rRNA from 1 species